rnacentral:rRNA from 1 species
UACGUAGGAGGCGAGCGUUGUCCGGAUUUACUGGGCGUAAAGCGCGCGCAGGCGGCACACUAAGUACGAUGUGAAAUCUCCCUGCUCAACGGGGAGGGUGCAUAGUAAACUGGUGAGCUAGAGGACGGUAGAGGGGGGUGGAAGUUGCUGGUGUAGCGGUGAAAUGCGUAGAGAUCAGCAGGAACACCCGUGGCGAAGGCGGCCCCCUGGGCCGAACCUGACGCUGAGGCGCGAAGGCUAGGGGAGCGAACGGGG